rnacentral:ncRNA from 10 species
UUCGUUCAUCUUACCCUGUAAGACGGAAGUAGACAUUCUUGUCGAAGGAACGCAUA